GUCUAAUUAGUUUAUUGCAAAACAUCAAGCUUGUAACUUGAAAAAGGAAAAACCAUUUGACA
rnacentral:tRNA from 1 species